rnacentral:rRNA from 1 species
CAAUAGCGUAUAUUAAAGUUGUUGCAGUUAAAAAGCUCGUAGUUGGAUUUGUGGCUGUCACGGGCGGCCUAUCACUUAGUGUUAGUGCUUGCCUGUGUCGCCAUCCUUGGGUGGAGCCCGUGUGGCAUUAGGUUGUCGUGCGGGGGAUGCCCAUCGUUUACUGUGAGAAAAUUAGAGUGUUCAAAGCAGGCUUAUGCCGUUGAAUAUGUUAGCAUGGAAUAAUAAGAUAGGACCUCGGUACUAUUUUGUUGGUUUGCGCACCGAGGUAAUGAUUAAUAGGGACAGUUGGGGGUAUUCGUAUUUCAUUGUCAGAAGUGAAAUUCUUGGAUUUCUGAAAGACGAACUACUGCGAAAGCAUUUACCAAGGAUGUUUUCAUUAA